AUGAACGCUAGCGGCAGGCUUAACACAUGCAAGUCGAGGGGUAACAGGGGAGCUUGCUUCUGCUGACGACCGGCGCACGGGUGAGUAACGCGUAUGCAACCUACCUCAAACAGGGGGAUAGCUCAGGGAAACCUGGAUUAAUACCCCAUAAUAUUUAGAUUUGGCCUUUAUAUAAGAUUAAAGCUCCGGCGGUUAAAGAUGGGCAUGCGUAACAUUAGUUUGUUGGUGAGGUAACGGCUCACCAAGACUACGAUGUUUAGGGGGUCUGAGAGGAUGGUCCCCCACACUGGUACUGAGACACGGACCAGACUCCUACGGGAGGCAGCAGUGAGGAAUAUUGGUCAAUGGGCGCAAGCCUGAACCAGCCAUGCCGCGUGCAGGAUGACGGCCUUAUGGGUUGUAAACUGCUUUUAUAUAGGAAGAAACCCUUGAACGUGUUCAAGGCUGACGGUACUAUAAGAAUAAGGAUCGGCUAACUCCGUGCCAGCAGCCGCGGUAAUACGGAGGAUCCAAGCGUUAUCCGGAUUUAUUGGGUUUAAAGGGUGCGUAGGCGGAAUAGUAAGUCAGGGGUGAAAUCCCACAGCUCAACUGUGGAACUGCCUUUGAUACUGCUAAUCUUGAGUACAAUUGAAGUAGGCGGAAUAUGUCAUGUAGCGGUGAAAUGCAUAGAGAUGACAUAGAACACCGAUCGCGAAGGCAGCUUACUAAGCUAUUACUGACACUGAGGGACGAAAGCGUGGGGAGCGAACAGGAUUAGAUACCCUGGUAGUCCACGCCGUAAACGAUGAUUACUCGUUGCUAGCGAUACACUGUUAGUGACUAAUCGAAAGUGUUAAGUAAUCCACCUGGGGAGUACGAUCGCAAGGUUGAAACUCAAAGGAAUUGACGGGGGCCCGCACAAGCGGUGGAGCAUGUGGUUUAAUUCGAUGAUACGCGAGGAACCUUACCAGGGCUUAAAUGUAGGAUGACAGGGGUAGAGAUACCUCUUUCUUCGGACACUUUACAAGGUGCUGCAUGGUUGUCGUCAGCUCGUGCCGUGAGGUGUCGGGUUAAGUCCCAUAACGAGCGCAACCCCUAUUCUUAGUUGCCAGCGGUUCGGCCGGGGACUCUUAAGAAACUGCCUACGUAAGUAGAGAGGAAGGUGGGGAUGACGUCAAAUCAUCACGGCCCUUACGUCCAGGGCUACACACGUGCUACAAUGGUGUUGACAAAGGGCAGCCACUUGGUGACAAGGAGCUAAUCCUAAAACAACAUCUCAGUUCGGAUCGCAGUCUGCAACUCGACUGCGUGAAGCUGGAAUCGCUAGUAAUCGCGCAUCAGCCAUGGCGCGGUGAAUACGUUCCCGGGCCUUGUACACACCGCCCGUCAAGCCAUGGAAGCUGGGAGUGCCUGAAGUCGGUGACCGCAAGGAGCUGCCUAGGGUAAAACUGGUAACUGGGGCUA
rnacentral:rRNA from 1 species